UGUUAGUGUUCCUUUUUCAUUAGCUAUGUAUCUACCUGCAUUUGUAAAGCAGACCCUCCAAAAUUUUUCGAUGAUUAUAGAAUGCAGUAAGGGUAUUUUUGCAUCGGUGAUUAAUAUGCUUGUUCGUUGUGUAAUUGGUGACUUGGCAUUAUUGCUUGUUCUUUUUUAAUUGACCAGAUACUCACAAAACUCUCGCUUGUAGUGAAUCUACAACUGCCAGCACGCUGGUGGGCUAAGCUUGAGAAGAUGACUUGAAUCUAUUGGAAUAGCAGAGAAUUAGAAAGUUGCCUUAGGAAUGGCAAGUUUAUUUUCCAUUAGUUUGGGAAAUGGAUUUUAUGUUAAACCAAAUUUUGUAAU
rnacentral:lncRNA from 1 species